ensembl:lincRNA
AUGAGCUGUGUUUCCCACAGCAGUUCAGGGCUGGGUGCCCGCCUGCGGUCCCAUCCCAAGGAGCUCCCUGCCUUCAGCCCUGUCCAGCUCUCUUCAGCUGCUGCAGACCUGAGACCACCUCACCCUGACUUCCCUUUUUCAAACUCCCUAGGGCCUUCUGCAGGAUGUCCUCCUCCCUGCAGUCUCAAGUGCUCAGCUGUGCUUGGUGGAUACAUUCUCCUGCCAGUCCUUCAGAUGAAAGGGCAGCAGGGAAGGAGAUUCGUGCUGGAUUCGGAGCUGUUCGUGUGGUACAGAGAGCCUGGAUGCUGGGCCCAGAGAAAGUCAUCCUACCAUCCUGCAACGCUCCUAUCACUUUCAUCUCUCCUGCACCCAAGGCAGUGUCUGGCGGCCUCUCCAUAUAGCAUCUGCACGAGCAUCUCUGGACGACAGUGGAGAUGUCACCUGUCAGAGAGCCCUGCUCCAGGGCAGCCCUUCGCCUCCCAAGGGAUGAGGGAGAGCCUUCCUGGUGGAAAGGAAGUGGCAAGACCCACUCAGCUUUCUUCCUAGAUCCCCUCCUUCUCCUUCCCUGAGUCUUCCAGUUUCUGAGCCAAGCACCUGGUCCUCUCACCUGUGAACAGUGGACUGCAUUGCAGAUCUGUGUCAGGGGAUAAUGUGAAUGUGUGUGGGUUCCACAAGCUCUGACUUUAGACAUAUGUGUGUGUGAUGGGUCUGCUGAGUGAGCUGCCUGCCUCAUUGACGCCAGCAGCUCCUGGGAUCUGCCGGGGCCGGCGUAGGCACCUGCUGAGCAGGGGGUUGGGAGGAGGUGUGAAGCAGCCUUGUGCUCCCAGAAGCCCACUCCUACCUGGGAAAGAAGGGAACAGAUAUCUCUCAGAGCAAAACCAGCCCCAGUGGAGAGGCAAGAACUACCAGAAGCCACCAGCCUGGCUGUCCUUGUGGUCUGAGUUUCUCUCACCCCGAGUCUGCCAGGGGAAUGAAUGAAACUUCUUUCCUAAUUUUCAUAAAAUAUAAGUUGCACUCAUUCUUGUGAAAUGUUUUCCUUUCUGGUAGAUUUUCUUGAAAAAAAGUAGAUCAAGUUUACAGCCCAGCACCUUGUGUUACUCAUUUGUGAGUGGCCCACCCUCUCCUCCUCACUCCCUCUUCUCGCAGAGGCUCCUGUGUUUCUUCUCACCAUUACUAGAGGAAGCUCAAUAGACACAGGGGUGAUCACACUGUACGUCCCUGUGUCUGCUUCCCCAAUUCAUGGGAAAGUGACACAUUCGCCCCCAUUGUAACUGGAUGAAUUCCCAUAACUAGUUCUAGAAAAUGAUGUUUAAGCCCAGUUGGAGGUGCUCCAGAUUUAUUUAGUGACCAACGUGAAGAGCAAUUUUCAAGACAAUGGUUGAUCCCACAGUAGACAUGUGGCAUGAGGGAGACCUUAAUCUCUAUUUUCAUCAGUUAUUGAGAUUAGGGUGGAUGUUUUUGUUACUGCAGUAUAACUUAGCCUAACCUGACUCAUACAGUAGGUCACUGAGUCAGAGCACUAGUAUUUUAAUUUUUCCUGUGUGAUCACUGUCUGUGGGCUUUGAGCAGUUCCUUAACCUCUUGUAUCUCUGCUUUGAAGUAAGUCCUGGAUCAGAGAGUUAUUGUGGCUAUCUACCAAGCCCAUAUGUAUAAAACUGCUUAUGUGUGGUACAUUGAGAGCAUGUAAGUUGUUUUUUCCUUGCUGGGAUAAUAUUAGAUAAUUUCAGGACAGAAGACUCAAUAUACUCAACCAUAACUUGUCAAAAUAUUCCCCUGAUACAAACUGAUCUUUCCCUAGGAGAAGUGGCAAUAUAGUAGUUGAAAUAAUACCCAGUGCCCUUUCACUGUAUGCAUUGCUUAUGCAGCUUUCUCUUACUUGGGCAGCUACACCCUAUGCUGGUCCUAGGCAGACUCAGCUGGGAUUUCCCAGCCGCCUGUGCGUCUGCACCCUUAAUCCAGCUGCGGUGGUUGGCACGUGCCACCAACUGCAGGUGUGUGCACCCAGAAUCAAAUAAGCGAUAUAUGAUUGCGGCCUGCCCUGGGUCUCGCUGUGGCAUUUGCUAUGAAAGUUUCUGGGACUGAAAAUAUUUGGCUCAGAACAGCACCUGCACUUGAAAUUUGGGCAAAAAUGGGACAUCUAGUGGCCAGAAAGGAGCCCUGAGAGAGAGCACCAACCGGCCUCCAUUGUGCGGCCCGCCUGCCAACGUGAGGGAGCCCACUCCCGAUACUGAGACAAGAGCUGCGCUAGCAGCUGCCCAGCCCCAAGGCGAUGGGGUAAAAGCGGCUACCACAGGCAGAGCUGCCAUACAGAGAAAUCUCCAGGUUCUGCGUGGUGUCACUGAUUCGGACUAUACAGGGAAAUCAGUUACUUAAAACAUUGCUUAAAUCACCCCAGACUCUCGUACUGCUCAAUUCAUCAUUCUUCCUUUGACAAAAUGUAAAAGAUUAUAAAUAAAUUUAAAAAAGGAAUCCAAGGGUUUGGGUUUUUGACACCCAUUGGGUUCAAAGAUAGAACUGAUUAGUUAAAGAAAAAACAUUGUAAAGGCUUUUAGACACAAGUGUGGAUGGCCUCUGGGUAUGGCGGAUACAGCUACACAAUAACAAAGGUGCUGGAUUGCUGACCUGGAGGGUGGCAAAGGGUCGUUCAGCAGGGAGUAGAGCCUCCCAGGGGAUUUCUGCUCUGCAGAAAACAAAGCCUCGCCUGACAGGGAAUACAGCCUCACAGGGAACAUAGCGGGUUUUUCUCUCUCCAUUACAACUGACACUAAAAGAGAAGCCUUUACAUUUUCCCCUUAAGGUGAUUAAUUUAAAAGGCUGUUUCCAUCCUCAAGAUAAAAACAGUUUUCAUUUAGUUAAAAAAAUCAUGUUUCCUAACAUUUACAAUAAUGGGGAUAUUUAAAAAAGAUUACUUAAAGUUCUCUUGAUUCCUAAUAACAUUGAUAGCCUAUUUUACAGUCUUAAAUUAAAUUGAUAUAAAAAGCUUUGAUAUUUUACAAACAGAUAUAAAGAUUUAGAGUGCAAUCUAAAAGCAGUGAGGUUUAAACAGUUGCUUGAUUUUGACAUCCCACUUAAAUAAUGGCAGGCCUGGUGGUGGCCUCAAAGGGGUACAAGCUAUGAUAACUUCUUCACAUUUGAGUUACCUUAUCCUACAAAGACAAAUUACCCCCAACUGUUCAGGUCAAUCUAAAAUGAUUUUCAGACUAUUUGGUGAUGUUAAUUGGCUCCGCCCAGCUUUUGAGCUAAUUUCUCU